GGCCUGUUGCACAAAAGUAGAAUUAAGACAUCCGGGAUAAAUGACUCAGCUGAGCUCAAUGAAGCCAAAACAUGUGCGUCCAGGCUUAAUUGGUUGCACAAAGACCAAGCCAGGAUGAGCAGACACGGAUUCAUUAAGCCAGGUGAAACCAAUCCUGGAUAGGUGCGCGCUCACGGCUCACUCAAAUAGACCCCGCCACAGAUCACAGAUGAACUGAUUUACCAUGGCAACUAGAGCCGCGUACUUUUCCCCGUCGGAAGCACAAAUCCUCAUGGAGGCAUACGUAUUGCAGACCGCCUGAAUGCGUAAGUAGUGCACAAUUACACACUCACCGCUCCGCUGAAACAUCACAAUUACAAUUCAAAUAUUUAAUUCACAUCUCCAAAAAUGCAGUUGUACUGUAAUUAUGAAACGGUUAAAUUUUUAAUUGAAAUGCACUGCAGAUAUGAGUGAAAUUGUGUAAAGUAACUCCAUCACACUGUUUAAAGCUAUGAUACAUUCUUUGAUAUUUUUACUGAAAACAAGACAAAAAUACCAAGUAAUUUUUUGCAGUGUGACUCCAUUAAAUGUGUGUGUGUGUGUGUGUGUGUGUGUGUGUGUGUGUGUGUGUGUGUGUGUGUGUGUGUGUGUGUGUGUGUGUGUGUAGAUUAAACAUGAACGGGCCAAAACGGACAUGGCAGCAGGUCAAAAUCAAAUACAAGAACAUUCUGCAGAAUGCAGUGAAAAAGAAUACCCACAGACAAGGCACGGGUGGUGGGUCACCAAAGGCUGACCUUACCCCAGCAGAGGACAUGGCCUUGGAGCUAAAUAAAGGCAGGCCCGUCUUAGAGGGGAUCCCUGGGGGGAAAGAGACGAGCAUAGGUUCCUCCCAAGAUGCCACCCGCUUCAUUCAAGUGCCUGGCAGCACUGUGUUCCUGUUAGAGCCACCAGCACAAGCACCAGACGAUGCUGAUCCAGGUGAAGGCCCCAGUGCAGCAGCAACAGCACAUGAUGGAGACGAUGAUGAGGAGGAGACCAUCUCUCUGGAUUCCAGAAGGCAUGAGGACCCAGAUGCUAUACAGUGGGAAAACCAGCCUGGCAACAUAGUGCGUAUUAAUAAAAGGACACCACAUCCUGCCAAAUUCCAGCUGCGCUAAUUGUAUUGUGUUCACAGAGCUCACAAGCUAUCAGAAAGUUGUAUGGCAACCACCUCCGGCGCCAAAUAGAACUGGCAGACAUAGACAUUCAGUACAAGAAGAAAAAGAUAGAAAAUCUUGCACUGGAGUCCGAAAUAAAAAAGAGGACAAUUAGGAAACUGGACCUUGAAAUAAAAAAACUUGCGAGGGAGCUCCAAGAAGAUGACACAGCUCAAAAUAAAAAUUAGCAAUCAGUACAACCAAGUCAUCGUUAUAAGGCAUCGCCCUCUUUUGCCCACCCCCAGCACCAGGUGUGGCCACUAGCCUAUAUGAAGGCCCAAAAUUGUGUGUUCCUUUCUGCUCUGACAAUGGCAUGCCCAUUCGUGCGAGAUGUGGUGGAUGAAGAAGCACUUGUGCUGAGGAGAGCCUUCAGGCGAGAAAGGGUCUUCAGGGACCGGUUGGACCCACUGGCCUUCCCUGAUGACCAUCUAUAUGAAAGAUACAGGUUUUCUGCAGAUGGCAUCAGGUAUCUAUGCAGACUACUGGGUCCCAGGAUUAAGCACCGCACUGCACGGAGCCAUGCACUGAGUGUGGAGCAAAUGGUUUGUGUGGCCUUGCGCUUUUUUGCUAGUGGAGCCUUCCUGUACUCAGUGGGGGAUGCAGAACAGCUGAACAAGGCCACAAUUUGCCGCACAAUAAGGAGUGUGUGUCUGGCUAUCAAAGCAUUAGCAGAUGUCUUCAUCUCCUUCCCUGGCCACAGAAGACUCUGUGACAUCAAAGAGGAGUUCUAUAGGAUUGCAGAUGGUCUGCAAUGCUGACUGUGUGAUCAGCAAUGUUGUGGCAAAAUGGCCUGGCUCAGUCCAUGACUCCAGAAUCUUUCGGGCCUCUGAAAUCUAUCAGUGCCUAUCACAAGGUGAAUUCUCUGGUGUGUUGCUGGGAGACAGGGGUAUGGCUGCCAGCCUUUUCUCCUGACACCUUUCACAGACCCCAGGAAGCACAGCAGGCCUACAACCAUGCCCAUGCCAGGACCAGGGCCAGAGUUGAAAUGACCUUUGGCCUCCUGAAGGCACGCUUUCACUGCCUUCACAAAUUAAGGGUCAGCCCUGUUAGGGCAUGUGAUAUUACUGUGGCUUGUGCUGUCCUCCACAAUGUGGCCUGCCUGAGGAAGGAGAGGGCCCCCAGAGUGCCACCAGCCAUGGACUGGGACAAUCCGGCAAUCUUCCCUGAUGACGACAGUGGUCGGCUGCUGAGGGACCAAUAUGUGUUGAAUUAUUUUAGUUAGUAUGUGUGCUUUCAAUUUUGGUUAAAUAUGUCCUGCGGUGGCAGAGGAAUUUGGG